GGAGACGCAAUAGGCUGGAGGGAGGGGUAGGCUGCAAACUGGAGGGUUGGUUGGAAAUUUGAAUAUGGAGCAGUUAACACCCCUAGAACCCUGUCAAGUCUGGGCAGGCUGGCGACUGCUGCCCCUCCCCCAUGCACCCUAGUGGAGAGCUGGGGGCUUGGGCUGCAGGGGGAGUUCAUCCAGAGAGGCUCUGAACUGGGAGACGCCUCAGUGAGAAUGCUUACAUCCACACGCUUUUCCAUACGCUGCCCCCAAAACGCUUUGUCAGUCUCUCACCUCCUGGCUUGAGAAUAAAGGAUUUCUCUCUAAGGAAACCAACCAAGCCAAUGGCAAAGACCUACAGAUACUGCCAUCUGGGGCUCCCAGUGGACCAGCUGGACCCCCAGCCCAGCACCCUACAGCGAGGCCCACAGUGGGCGAGUCCUUCCCGCACAAGGAAAGCUCCCCAGUCAGACCUGAGUGCCCCGCUCUUCAAUGUGAGUGGACAGCUGAGGAUCACUUAGGCCUCUGAGGAAAGUCUGCGCUUGAAAGUUACCCGAAUAAACAGAAGGUGAGAAGCAGGAAGGAAGGGACUUAAGGCAGGGAGAAAACUUUUUAAAAGAGUAAUUGAUAUUCCCAGAAAACUAAGAGAAGAUACCACAUCCAAAAAGUAAGGAACAAUAUUUCAUGUAAUUUUUUCCCCAGCUUUUUUUGUUGUGACUGCUGUCGAACUGAUUCCGACUCCUAGCGACCCUGUGGACAGCAGACUGCAACCCUGCCUGGGUUUUUGGUGCCAUCUCUCCCCUUCCGGCGCUAUAUCAGACAAUGAAUGCUCGACUGCUAUUUGUGGGGUCUUUUGGAAGUGGGUGACCAGGCCCUUUGUCCCAGUCUGUCUGAGUCUGGAAAUCCUGCUGAAGCCUGUCUACCACACCACAGUGUGACAACUGACAGACAGGUGGUGUGGCUCUCUGACUGGAAACAAACCCGGGCAACGGCAAUGAGAGUGCCAGAUCUUAACCCCUGGACCAUCUUUCCACCUUUACCGAAGACAUAACUGGCAUACGACAUUGUGCGGAGGGACGGGAUGGAUCCCGACCAGGAGGUCCUGCCUGGAGCCUCAGGCUGUAAGCUCGUGUUAUAGUCACUCAGCAUCUAUUAAGCAUCUGCCAUGGGCCAGGCCCUCUUCUCAGCACUGGGAACACAUCAAUGGACCAAAGAGACAAAGCCCCGACUUGGUGGAUCUAUAUUCUAGUGUUUAUCUUUGAAGCCUCACGUUUUACUCGAAACCAUCACAGAAGGAGCUGCCACCUGAAGGGACACAGCCCCGCCUGGAGGAGAGCAGAACCUGGGAAGGGGGCAAGUUCAAAGGCGAGCCCAUGCCGUGAAUGACGGCACAGAGGCGCGUGACAAGGGCCUCUUUCACAGCCCCGACGGCAGGCACUGCGGGCCAGGCGGCCGGACGCGGCUCCGUGAAUCGGCCUGUGUUCCGAGGUCAGGCACUCGAGGCCUGGCUCUGCCCCUGGGGGCUGACGGAAUGGUGACAGGAGCAUUUAUGAGGAUAUGCAGAAGGGGAGCCUGCAUUGUCGUGGCUGACAAGACCCCCAUGAUCGAUUUUGUUUUUUAGUGAUAUAAACAUGUAGUUCUUUGUAAUUUCUGUCCACAGAAAAG
rnacentral:lncRNA from 1 species